rnacentral:rRNA from 1 species
ACGUAGGAUCCGAGCGUUAUCCGGAUUUACUGGGCGUAAAGAGUUGCGUAGGUGGCAGAGUAAGUUAGUAGUGAAAGCGUGUGGCUCAACCAUACUCACAUUACUAAAACUGCUCAGCUUGAAGAUGAGAGAGGUCACUGGAAUUCCAAGUGUAGGAGUGAAAUCCGUAGAUAUUUGGAGGAACACCGAUGGCGUAGGCAGGUGACUGGCUCAUUCUUGACACUAAGGCACGAAAGCGUGGGGAGCAAACGGGA